GACGAACGCUGGCGGCGUGCUUAACACAUGCAAGUCGAACGGAAAGGCCCUGCUUUUGUGGGGUGCUUGAGUGGCGAACGGGUGAGUAACACGUGAGUAACCUGCCCUUGACUUUGGGAUAACUUCAGGAAACUGGGGCUAAUACCGGAUAGGAGCCCCUGCUGCAUGGUGGGGGUUGGAAAGUUUCGGCGGUUGGGGAUGGACUCGCGGCUUAUCAGCUUGUUGGUGGGGUAGUGGCUUACCAAGGCUUUGACGGGUAGCCGGCCUGAGAGGGUGACCGGCCACAUUGGGACUGAGAUACGGCCCAGACUCCUACGGGAGGCAGCAGUGGGGAAUAUUGCACAAUGGGCGGAAGCCUGAUGCAGCAACGCCGCGUGCGGGAUGACGGCCUUCGGGUUGUAAACCGCUUUCGCCUGUGACGAAGCGUGAGUGACGGUAAUGGGUAAAGAAGCACCGGCUAACUACGUG
rnacentral:rRNA from 1 species